GACGAACGCUGGCGGCGUGCCUAACACAUGCAAGUCGAGCGAGGAGAGUUCCUUCGGGAAUAACCUAGCGGCGGACGGGUGAGUAACACGUGGGCAACCUGCCUUGUAGAGGGAAUAGCCUUCCGAAAGGAAGAUUAAUACCGCAUAACAUUACAGUUUCGCAUGAAACAGUAAUUAAAGGAGCAAUCCGCUACAAGAUGGGCCCGCGGCGCAUUAGCUAGUUGGUGAGGUAACGGCUCACCAAGGCGACGAUGCGUAGCCGACCUGAGAGGGUGAUCGGCCACAUUGGGACUGAGACACGGCCCAGACUCCUACGGGAGGCAGCAGUGGGGAAUAUUGCACAAUGGGGGAAACCCUGAUGCAGCAACGCCGCGUGAGUGAUGAAGGUUUUCGGAUCGUAAAGCUCUGUCUUCGGGGACGAUAAUGACGGUACCCGAGGAGGAAGCCACGGCUAACUACGUG
rnacentral:rRNA from 1 species